rnacentral:ncRNA from 1 species
AAUGGCCCGGGUGACGUCGUCGCGUCGGUCGCGUUUCGGCGUGACCGUUCGCGCCGAGCCCCGGUGCUCAUGGUCGGGCUCGCCCGACGGGCAAGAACCGUCGACGCGGCCCCGUCGCAGGCGGGGGUCCCGUCGGUCGGCGACGUGUUUCGAGCUACUUUCCGACCCGUCUUGAAACACGGACCAAAGGAGUCUAACGUGUGCGCGAGUCAAACGGUGAUCUUACGAAAAACCACGUUUGGCGCAAUGAAAGUGAACCGUUUACGGUGCGGACGAUGGCCUAGCGACCGAACCCACCGGCGUUCAAAGUCGCGCUGGUCCGCAGUCCGGGGGCGUCUCCGCCAAGUCGGCUUCGGCCGGCUGGGGGCGCACCCUUAGCGCACACGUUGGUACCCGAAAGAUGGUGAACUAUGCCUGGCCAGGAUGAAGUCAGGGGAAACCCUGAUGGAGGUCCGCAGCGAUUCUGACGUGCAAAUCGAUCGUCUGAGCUGGGUAUAGGGGCGAAAGACUAAUCGAACCAUCUAGUAGCUGGUUCCAUCCGAAGUUUCCCUCAGGAUAGCUGGCGCCGAUGUGUCCCGCCCGUUCGCGGGCGUACGGACGCCGGUGGGACUCCGCGCUGUACGGCGCGGUAACAACACGCUCGUAACACGGAGGAUGUCUCAUACGGUAAAGCGAAUGAUUAGAGGACAUUGGGGCCGAAACGACCUCAACCUAUUCUCAAACUAUAAAUGAGUGAGAUCGCCGGCUUUACCUGGUACACCGCGUGAACCGCGUGCGAAGCCGGCGACGGAACCCUAGGCGCUUAGUGGGCCAUUUUUGGUAAGCAGAACUGGCGCUGCGGGAUGAACCGAACGCCGAGUUAAGGCGCCGAAAUCGACGCG